rnacentral:rRNA from 1 species
GUGCCAGCAGCCGCGGUGAUACGGAGGGUGCAAGCGUUGUUCGGAAUUACUGGGCGUAAAGGGCGUGUAGGCGGAUCAAGUAGUCGGGUGUGAAAGCCCUGGGCUCAACCCAGGAAGUGCGCCCGAAACCAUUGAUCUUGAGUUUCGGAGGGGAGCGGGGAAUUCCCAGUGUAGAGGUGAAAUUCGUAGAUAUUGGGAGGAACACCGGUGCCGAAGGGGCCGCUCUGGACGAAUACUGACGCUAAGACGCGAAAGCAUGGGGAGCAAACAGGAUUAGAUACCCUGGUAGUCCAUGCCGUAAACGAUGUGCACUAGGUGUCGGGGGUAUUGACCCCCCCGGUGCCGCCGCUAACGCAUUAAGUGCACCGCCUGGGAAGUACGAUCGCAAGGUUGAAACUCAAAGGAAUUGACGGGGGCCCGCACAAGCGGUGGAGUAUGUGGUUUAAUUCGACGCAACGCGAAGAACCUUACCUGGACUUGACAUCUGGGGAAGUCCCUAGAGAUAGGGAUGUGCCCUUCGGGGAACCCCAUGACAGGUGCUGCAUGGCUGUCGUCAGCUCGUGUCGUGAGAUGUUGGGUUAAGUCCCGCAACGAGCGCAACCCCUGUCCUUAGUUGCCAUCAGUUCGGCUGAGCACUCUAAGGAGACUGCCGGUGUUAAACCGGAGGAAGGUGGGGAUGACGUCAAGUCCUCAUGGCCUUUAUGUCCAGGGCUACACACGUACUACAAUGGCUGGUACAAAGGGUCGCAAUACCGCGAGGUGGAGCUAAUCCCAAAAAACCAGUCUCAGUUCGGAUUGGUUUCUGCAACUCGAAACCAUGAAGUUGGAAUCGCUAGUAAUCGCUGAUCAGCAUGCAGCGGUAAAUACGUUCCCGGGCCUUGUACACACCGCCCGUCACACCUCGAAAGCUGUUUAUACCAGAAGUGCGUGACCCAACCUUUAAGGAGGGAGCGCCCCAAGGUAUGAGCGGUGAUUGGGGUGAAGUCGUAACAAGGUAACCG